rnacentral:rRNA from 1 species
UACGGAGGGUGCAAGCGUUAUCCGGAUUCACUGGGUUUAAAGGGUGCGUAGGUGGGAAUGUAAGUCAGUGGUGAAAUCUCCGUGCUUAACAUGGAAACUGCCAUUGAUACUAUGUUUCUUGAAUUUUCUGGAGGUAAGCGGAAUAUGUCAUGUAGCGGUGAAAUGCUUAGAUAUGACAUAGAACACCAAUUGCGAAGGCAGCUCGCUACACAUAUAUUGACUCUGAGGCACGAAAGCGUGGGGAUCAAACAGG